AGGGCACCACCAGGAGUGGAGCCUGCGGCUUAAUUUGACUCAACACGGGAAAACUCACCCGGCCCGGACACUGAAAGGAUUGACAGAUUGAGAGCUCUUUCUUGAUUCAGUGGGUGGUGGUGCAUGGCCGUUCUUAGUUGGUGGAGUGAUUUGUCUGGUUAAUUCCGAUAACGAACGAGACUCUAGCCUACUAAAUAGAUCGUCGGCUUACAAACGCCGGCGAGACUUCUUAGAGGGACAGGCGGUGAUUCAACCGCACGAAACAGAGCAAUAACAGGUCUGUGAUGCCCUUAGAUGUCCGGGGCCGCACGCGCGCUACACUGAAGUGAUCAGCGUGCUUUUUCAACCUACUCUGUCAAGAGUGGGGAACCCAAUGAACCUUCUUCGUGAUUGGGAUAGGGGAUUGUAAUUAUUCCCCUUGAACGAGGAAUUCCCAGUAAGCGCGAGUCAUAAGCUCGCGUUGAUUACGUCCCUGCCCUUUGUACACACCGCCCGUCGCUACUACCGAUUGAAUGUUUU
rnacentral:rRNA from 1 species